GCUCAGUCUCCAUCAUGGUGGCCAACAUCCUUCGCCUCUUCAAGAUACCCCAGAUCAGCUACGCCUCCACAGCACCAGACCUGAGUGACAACAGCCGCUACGACUUCUUCUCCCGCGUGGUGCCCUCGGACACGUACCAGGCCCAGGCCAUGGUGGACAUCGUCCGUGCCCUCAAGUGGAACUACGUGUCCACGGUGGCCUCGGAGGGCAGCUAUGGCGAGAGCGGUGUGGAGGCCUUCAUCCAGAAGUCCCGUGAGGACGGGGGCGUGUGCAUCGCCCAGUCAGUGAAGAUACCACGGGAGCCCAAGGCAGGCGAGUUCGACAAGAUCAUCCGCCGCCUCCUGGAGACUUCGAACGCCAGGGCAGUCAUCAUCUUCGCCAACGAGGAUGACAUCAGGUGAGGGCAGGUGGCAGCAGGGUGGGCACUGGGAGCCAUGCAGGUGUGGGCAGAGCCACGGGUCCUGUCCUGCUGGAGACCUUCCCAGGCGAGCCUGACCCCACCCUGGGAUCCAGAGAGGUGGGUGCGGGUGAGUGGGUAUGUGGGCGGGGAGACCCACAGGCUGGUGCACAGGCUACUGCUAUGGGGCACUCCUUCCCUUCCCCCUCCAUUUCCUGCGUCCAUUCCACCUGCUAGGGAUGGCUACCUGGGUGCUUUAACAGAGGGCUGAGGCCGUGAGCUUGGGGCUGGACCACUUAGGUUCUAAUGCUGUUCUCCCACCUACUAGCUGUGUGACCCCAGGUGAAUUUCUUAACCUCUCUGGGCCUCUGCUGCUAAAAAACAAAUGAGUUAAUGAUACCUGCCUGCCUGAUAGCGUUUGAGAAUUCAAUGCAGGAAUGUGCAUAAAAGGCUUAGAGUAAGGUCUGGCAUGAAAUAGGCGCCCAGUAAAUGUGGGCCACCUCUCAGCCCCUCCCUCCUUUCUGUGGUGAGCUCAGAGUACAGAGAAGAGCUCUGGGCUGUGUUUGGUUCUAGUCUUGGCUUAGGCUCAGAGAGCCCAAGCUGAGGGGAGAAACAGCUCUGUCCUCAGGGAGCCCCAGGAUGAGGGGUGAUACAGCUCUGCCUAGAAUCUGGUAGGGCCCUCUAGUCCCUGCUGGUCACCUCUCCUUCAGAGAGGAGGGUGAGAGCAGAUGUGGCCCCUGCCAGGUCUCCUCAGAUAUCUGGCCAAGGCUGGCAGAGCCUGCUGUGCCCUCAGACUCCCCCUCACUGGACCAGCCAAGGCUGCACUGUGUGCCCAGUCCUUCCCAGGCGGCUUCCUCCUAUUCCUCACCAGUGCUCCCAAGCCAUUUCUCACUUUCUAACCUGGACUCCAGAGUUGCUGCAAAACAGAUACCCUCCCAGGCCAUUGGUGGGUCCCUGGAGGGAUGGAGGAGGGCUUCUGGAAGAUCAUCACAGCCUCAAAAGCCAAAAGGACAAACUGCAAUGGUUGGUGUCUCAGGCAGCGAAAGGCCAGGGAGGGGAGGCCCUCAAGCCCCAUCCUGACACCCUCAGAGCUGCACAGAGGCGGCACCCAGUCCCUUGAGGCGUGCAAGUCCCCUGAGUUCUGGCUCUGAACGUGUAUGAUGGCCACCGCUCAGCCAGCUCCUGGGGAAGCUUCUGAGCCACCGGGCCCCGCUCACUGACUCCUGCCCCCUACUCCCAUCCCAGAGCCUGAUAAGACUUGGCUCCCACACCCCACCCAGCUAUGUGCCUCACUCCGGGCCUGCUGUUUUCGAGGACACCUUCAGCUCAGAUGGACCCACAUUCUGGGAGGGGGACUGAAAGCACUUGGCCUUUUGUCCCAGCGAAGAAGCCCCUAGGGGAGGGCUGGAAGGGAGCUAGACUGACUUCUGGAGCAGGCUACAGGAAGUGGGGUAGGAGGCGGGGGUCAUUUCUGGAAAUGCACAUGCAUUUUCAGAAGCAAACAGAAGUAAAAAUAAACCCAGGUGACUCUGCAGGGCUAGAAGAUCGGGAGCUCUGGCCAUCUCGGGCUGGCCGGAUGCAGACGGGUAUUAAUAGGGUGUGGGUGUGGGUUCUGAGAGCAGCCUUACCUGCCAUUAGUGGUGACCUAGGGUGCAGGGGGGCUACACCAGUGAGCGGGGCUGGAAAGCCUCAGGAGUUGGGAGAUGAUGGAGGGUGGGGUGGGAUGAGAUGGACAAGGCCAGCUCAGGUGAAAGCUCUGGGGCCUGGAAACAUUUGUUUCUCCCUGGAAGCCCAGGCCCUCCAGCCCCAGCUGGCCGCCUCCUGCACAGGCCCAGCAGCCACCCCCCACCCUGGAGUCUGUGCCCUGGUCCUCACCAACGGAAGGGCCUGGACAGUUUGUAAUAUCACAGCCUCUCACUUGCUGUGUGACUGUGAGCAAGUUCCUUGCCUCCUCCCUACCUCAGUCUCUCUUUGUGGGAGCUGGGUUAGGGGAAUUCUGCCCAUUCCUCCUUGUUUUUCCCCUCUGAGAUGUCUUUGAGGGGCCGCUUAAUUCAUGCCUCCAUGAAGCCCUGGCUGAGUGCUUGCUGUGGGCUCCUCGGCCCCGGGCUGGGCUCUCGGGACCCUGGUUUGAUUUAUAUUACCAUCACAGGCAGACUGGGCUGUGUGUGAGCACUGGGUGGCUGGCUCCCCACCCAUCUCCCUCCAUCACCCACUCCCACUCAGGGUGUGGGGAGCAGCUCUCUGAAGGACCUGGAAUUUUGGCACAGAGGGCGGUGAAUGAAGAGGGAGCUGUGGGCAGAAGGCAGCAUGUGCAGAGGGGUGAGGGCGGCGGUUGUGUGAUGGCGGAUGCGUGUGAGAAUGGGCAAGGAAUGUGGGGGUGGAUGAGCCAGGAAGGCAUGCGUCUCAGGGGACCGGGGCUGGGCAGAGGUGGUGGUGGGGCCUGAGUCAGACGUGGGGCGGGUGUGGAUCUGCGGGGGACAGGUGUGGUCUUUGUAGGGACAGAUGUGGGCCUGGAGAAUCACACAGGCGUGGGCCCAGGGGCAGACAGGUUGGAUGAGGCAGUAGCCAUGGGUCUAUGGGCAGGUGAGGGCAGGGGGUAGGGGGAAUCCACGGGUUGGGGUGAAAGCAUGGGUGCUGGGACAGUUGUGGACCCUGGGCUUCUGGGGGUCAGAGAUGUGGGCCCAAAGCAAGUGUGGCCAGGAGUGGGAGCAGUUUCGUGGACAGACACGGCUGGGCUGGGCUGGUGUGUGUUCCUACAGGCGUGUGCUGGAGGCAGCACGAAGAGCCAACCAGACAGGCCAUUUCUUCUGGAUGGGCUCUGACAGCUGGGGCUCCAAGAUUGCACCUGUGCUGCACCUGGAGGAGGUGGCUGAGGGUGCUGUCACGAUCCUCCCCAAGAGGAUGUCCGUACGAGGCUUCGACCGCUACUUCUCCAGCCGCACGCUGGACAACAACCGGCGCAACAUCUGGUUUGCUGAGUUCUGGGAGGACAACUUCCACUGCAAGCUGAGCCGCCACGCCCUCAAGAAGGGCAGCCACGUCAAGAAGUGCACCAGUGAGCACGCGGGCCGGGCAGGGCCGGGCGGGCUCUAGGAGGAGCCGGGGAGGGCCGAGCCUGGGGGCCUGAGGUCGAGAGACUCCCUUUGUCAGCCGGCCGGCCGGCCGUGGCACGACGUGGAGUUGGGCCAGCACCUGGGGUGGAGUUGGGAGGCCUGGGGCGGGGCCCUGAGGGGCGGGGCCACAGCAGAUUUGGGGUGUGGCCUUGAGAUCGUUGGGAGUGGCAAGGCCUCUGGCCGCCUCGGGGUUGAUGUGGACGGCCCUAGGGCCAGCCCACAGCACCGAACUGACCCCUCCUGCCCUGUAUCCAGUCUUGACGCACACCAGGCUGGGCACUUUCCAGAAACCACCUCUAACCUCCAGGGUUCCCUCAGUAACUCAGCAAGCACCAGUUUGGCUCCUAGGCCGUGCAUUGCCCUGUUCUAAGCAUGGCAGAUAAUAUAGCAGUGAAGAAAGAGUCCAACGGCGCUUGGAGUUUUUAUUCUAAUGGGGAGACAGACCAUCAACAAGACGAGUGAAUGAUAGAAUAUGUCAGAACAGAAAUGUGCAGAAGAAACAAAACAGACAAUAAAAAGAACGGAAAGUGUGAGGGGAAGGGAAACUGCAACUGUGAAGUGGCCAGGGACGGCCUGCUUGCACAGGUGACAUCUGAGCCCUCACAUUAGAGGGAUAAGCUGCGCAGGGGAAGGGCAGUGAUCGGUCCAUUUUACAGAAGGGAGAGCAGAGGCUCAGAGGAGGUGAGUAGAGGGACUUGAAUUCCCAUAGAUAGAGGGUGGUAGAGCAUGACUUGCUCCCGGGUCUGAGCCCUGGGCCCCCCGCCCCCUAGGUAGCCAUCAUGGCGUGUCCACUUCAGAUACAUCCGGACAGGGGUCUUUGCGCGCCCUGGGUCUGGGUCGCUCUGCGGCAGGACCCAGCCUCAAUAACAUUGGGGUGCUCUGGUGCCUCUCAGCCUGAGUGGUGCCUAAUCGAGGAUGAUGAGUUAUCUCCCGUAUUCUCCCAGACUUGAUCGUGCAGUUUGGGCAAAGGGCGGGGGACGCGCUGCAUGGAGUCUUAGCUCCUCCAGGGCCAGGGGAGAAGGGAGUGUGAUGAGGGUGGGUGGGGAGCAUGCCGCCCUCUGGUGGCCAGAGCCCACAGGGACUUGCAGCCACUGGACCACUGGGGACCCAGAGAAGCUCACAGCCAAACCCACCUGAUCUGCAGAGUGAGUGCAGGUAUGCGAGUGUGCCCAGUGUGGCAGUGUGUGUGUAUACACCUGUGGCACGUGACUUCGCAUGUGUGUGAGCUGGUGUUCCUGAGAGAGAAGGGGUGUGUGUGCCUGUGUCUUACGUGGGGCUUAUGUCUUCCUGGGUGAGCUAAACAUAAACAUUGCUGUUUACUAUGUAUCUACUGUGUUCAGACACUUUAAAGACAUCAUCUUUAAAAUGUGAAAGACAUUUCACUCUCACAGCAACUCUAGGAACUCUUAAGAUUCCUACACUCUAGACGAGGAUAUGCAGAGUCAGAGAGACCAAGUGACUUGCCCGAGGCUGCUCAGCAAAUGCCUGCAUCAGGCAGUAAUCACAAUAGAGGUGUGAGAAGUGCAAAGAUGCCUGGGUGUGGAGGUUGAGCACUCAUGGGUGGGGUGACCGUGCAUCCUGUCUCCCGUGUUCUGGUGUAAUUAUUGAGAGCAUCCCCUUCGGUUCUUGGAAGUGCCCAAGCGGGAUGGAAAACUGUAUGGGCACUCUGAUUUAGAUCAGCAGACCUAGAUCGGGGGUGAGGAUGGGGAUGGGAUGGGAAGACUGGAAGUGGUGGCAAGAUGGACAGCUGGGGCCUCCUGGACCCAGUGCCUAGGCUGUCGAGGGGUCUGGGCUGUCAAGGGGAAGGGCUUUCUAGAAUCUUCUCUGCGUCUGGGAGGGGCAGGAGGGGAGAAGGCUUUGGUCAGUUCCUGUGGGCUCUGUCCAGACUCCUAGUCCUUGGGGCAGGAUUCAUGAACCUCUCCAGCAGUCCUAAGGGAGGCGUUUGGUCUGAUUGUCAGCUCAGGUGGGGAAGGAGGACUGGAGCAGGGUUCAGAAGAGCACAGAGCUCGGCUGGGCGUGGUGGCACACGCCUGUAAUCCCAGCACUUUGGGGGGCCGAGGUGGGCGGAUCAUCUGAGGUCAGGAGUUCAAUACCAGCCUGGUCAACAUGGUGAAACCCCAUCUCUACUAAAAAUACAAAAAUUAGCCGGGUGUGAUGGUGCACACCUGUAAUCCCAGCUACUCGGGAGGCCGAGGUACGAGAAUCGCUUGAGCCUGGGAAGUGGAGGUUGCAGUGAGCCGAGAUUGUGCUACUGCACUCCAGCCUGGGCGACAGAGUGAGAGUCUGUCUC
rnacentral:sRNA from 1 species